rnacentral:rRNA from 1 species
CGGACGGGUGAGUAAUGUCUGGGAAACUGCCUGAUGGGGGGGAUAACUACUGGAAACGGUAGCUAAUACCGCAUAACGUCGCAAGACCAAAGAGGGGGACCUUCGGGCCUCUUGCCAUCGGAUGUGCCCAGAUGGGAUUAGCUAGUAGGUGGGGUAACGGCUCACCUAGGCGACGAUCCCUAGCUGGUCUGAGAGGAUGACCAGCCACACUGGAACUGAGACACGGUCCAG